AGUUGAGUAGUGGAGUUAAAUAGUGUUGCCAACUGUAAAGGGCACUUUUCCGCUGUCCCUCACGCGCAUUUUCUUGCGCGUAGCUUCUGUAAUGUCCCUCCUGACCUGGCUGGACAUCAAACUCCCAUCUCAACCAGCUGCACCAUUUGGAUUUGAUAAAUUUCUAAGCCAACCUGACCUAACCAACAACCAAAAGCAAAGAACACUUUCCUUUUACUUUUUCCAUAACAAUUCCAAACGACACGUCGUUUCGGUAAAUUCGUUGCAAUGAGGUUGUCUCUCGCACUCUUCAUCAUUGUUUCUCUUCUUCUCUGCUUCGCGUCCACCGAGUCUGUAACUGAGUCCAACUCCGAGGUCAAUGCCACCGCUGCUGAGUAUAAUAAUGUGUCCCGCGAGACAUCCAAAGAGGACAGCUUCGCUGACAUGAUUGAUCGUGCUCUCGAAAAGGAAUUCAAUGAGAGUGACCAAAAUGAAGCUACUGAUCCUGGUAGCUUCAAUAAUAGUGUUGCUGGACAACAGGCUGUUUUGGAAACUGUUGCCAGAGUUACAAAGAAAAAUGAAACCAAGGAGAAGUCAUUUCAAUUUCAUCAUGUUUUUAAAUUGGAUAAUGAAAAUGGACAAGAAGAUACUCCAACAUUGAUUGAUCGGAAGGACAAUGUUUUUAUCAUAUCAAAUCCAAAGUCGAAAUAUCCUGUGCUGCAACUAGACUUGAGAUUGAUAUCAGAUCUGGUGGUUGUUAUUGUCUCUGCAACUUGUGGUGGUAUUGCCUUUGCAUGUGCUGGACAACCGGUCAUUACUGGAUAUCUGCUAGCAGGAUCUGUUAUUGGGCCGGGGGGCUUCAGCUUUGUCAGUGAAAUGGUGCAAGUUGAAACAGUGGCCCAAUUUGGUGUCAUUUUUCUUCUUUUUGCAUUGGGCCUUGAAUUCUCUGCAUCAAAGCUUCGAGUUGUUCGUGCAGUUGCUGUUUUAGGAGGUCUUCUCCAGAUUUUUCUAUUUAUGUGCUUGUGUGGAAUAAUAGCUUCGUUGUGUGGUGGUAAGCCUUCAGAAGGGGUAUUUGUUGGUGCCUUGUUGUCUAUGUCUUCAACUGCAGUGGUUUUAAAGUUUUUGAUGGAAAGGAAUAGUAUAAGUGCCCUACAUGGUCAAGUCACAAUUGGUACCCUUAUUUUGCAGGACUGUGCUGUGAGUUCGCUUUUUGCUCUGCUACCAAUUCUUGGUGGAACUUCUGGUGUUCUUCAAGGAGUAAUAUCCAUCACUAAAUCAUUGGUGAUGUUGAUCUCAUUUCUGGCCAUUUUGAUGAUAUUAUCUCGUACGUGUGUACCAUGGUUUCUGAAGCUAAUGAUAAGCUUAUCUUCGCGAACUAAUGAACUUUAUCAGCUGGCAUCUGUGGCAUUCUGCUUACUUGUUGCUUGGUGCAGUGAUAAGCUGGGUUUAAGCCUUGAAUUGGGUUCCUUUGCUGCUGGAGUGAUGAUAUCAACAACUGAUCUUGGUCAACACACCCUUGAACAAGUUGAGCCGAUUCGCAACUUCUUUGCUGCACUUUUUCUUGCCAGUAUUGGGAUGCUGAUUCAUGUACAUUUCUUGUGGAAUCAUGUUGAUAUCUUACUAGCAGCUGUACUAUUGGUGAUUGUUGUAAAAACUGCUGUGGUUGCCACUGUUGUCAAGGGCUUUAAUUACAGCAACAAAACGUCACUCCUCGUUGGAAUGUCUCUGGCACAAAUUGGAGAAUUUGCUUUUGUUUUGCUUAGUCGUGCUUCUAAUCUUCAUCUAGUUGAGGUUUGUUCAAUCAAUAUUUUGCAACCAUCUAAGCUAAUAUCAGGGGAAAUUGUAUCUACUGCUCCUUGGCACAACAGCACUCAGUCUGGUGACAACUCCAUUGCUUUUUAAGCUGAUCCCUGCUGUUGUAAAUCUCGGGGUACAGUUGCGGUGGUUCUCCCCUGAUCUGUCAAGUGAGAUUGGAUUUAAAGGUGAUAGUCUUCGUGCAGACGGUGCUAAGCGUAUUCCUUUGAUGGUCCAAGGCUCUCAUAAUUCAUGAUAUCAAAUAAAACCAUGAACCAGAAAUAUGCGAAUUUCAGGCUUAUCCUGAUGGACUUCUUAUGCUCUGGGGGACAGGUGUUUAAGAGUGCAAAGGAGGUUGAUUGAGUGAACCAUUUUAGUCUGUGACAGAUUUUCGUAUGUUGCCUGAUUUCACUUGACGUAUCUCCGACCAUAUCAAGCACUGGAGUAUGAUGCCGACUACUAUCGAGAUGUUGGGAUUGCCAUAGUUCUGAUCCACAUCCUACUACCCAACACUUCAAAUAUUGACUUAGGUCAUCUUGUUGCUGUUCCGGAUGGCCAAUUUUUGUAGAUAUAUUGUCCAUUUUGUAAUGUAAUUCAAUUUUUUUUUUUUUUUGCCUUUUAAAUCAAAAGUCAAAGUAGUGCAAGGCCUUCAAAUGUAUCAAUCCUGUUUUGUUCUUGUAAUGAUACAACAGUUUGUAAACUGGAUUUUGUUUGAUUCUUAAAAUGCAUUGAUGGCAUAUAUAAAUGAUUCUUCAGGGUCUUUGUUA